rnacentral:rRNA from 1 species
GGUUUGAUUCUGGCUCAGAUUGAACGCUGGUGAUGCUUACACAUGCAAGUCGAACGGCAGCACGGACUUCGGUCUGGUGGCGAGUGGCGAACGGGUGAGUAAUGUAUCGGAACGUGCCUAGUAGCGGGGAUAACUACGCGAAAGCGUAGCUAAUACCGCAUACGCCCUUCGGGGGAAAGCGGGGGACUUUCGCCUCGCACUAUUAGAGCGGCCGAUAUCGGAUUAGCUAGUUGGUGGGGUAACGGCUCACCAAGGCGACGAUCCGUAGCUGGUUUGAGAGGACGACCAGCCACACUGGGACUGAGACACGGCCCAGACUCCCUACGGGAGGCAGCAGUGGGGAAUUUUGGACAAUGGGGAAACUCCUGAUCCAGCCAUCCCGCGUGCGAUGAAGGCCUUCGGGUUGUAAAGCACUUUGGCAGGAAAGAAACGGCACGGGAUAAUACCCCGUGCAACUGACGGUACCUGCAGAAUAAGCACUGGCUAACUACGUGCCAGCAGCCGCGGUAAUACGUAGGGUGCAAGCGUUAAUCGGAAUUACUGGGCGUAAAGCGUGCGCAGGCGGUUCGGAAAGAAAGAUGUGAAAUCCCAGAGCUUAACUUUGGAACUGCAUUUUUAACUACCGAGCUUGAGUGCGUCAGAGGGAGGUGGAAUUCCCGCGUGUAGCAGUGAAAUGCGUAGAUAUGGAGGAACACCGAUGGCGAAGGCAGCCUCCUGGGAUAACACUGACGCUCAUGCACGAAAGCGUGGGGAGCAAACAGGAUUAGGAUACUCCUGGUAGUCCACGCCCUAAACGAUGUCAACUAGCUGUUGGGGCCUUCGCCUGGUAGCGCAGCUAACGCGUGAAGUUGACCGCCUGGGGAGUACGGUCGCAAGAUUAAAACUCAAAGGAAUUGACGGGGACUCCGCACAAGCGGUGGAUGAUGUGGAUUAAUUCGAUGCAACGCGAAAACCUUACCUACCCUUGACAUGUCUGGAAUCCCGAAGAGAUUUGGGAGUGCUCGCAAGAGAACCGGAACACAGGUGCUGCAUGGCUGUCGUCAGCUCGUGUCGUGAGAUGCUGGGUUAAGUCCCGCAACGAGCGACCCUUGUCAUUAGUUGCUACGAAAGGGCACUCUAAUGAGACUGCCGGUGACAAACCGGAGGAAGGUGGGGAUGACGUCAAGUCCUCGUGGCCCUUAUGGGUAGGGCUUCACACGUCAUACAAUGGUCGGGACAGAGGGUCGCCAACCCCGCGAGGGGAGCCAAUCCCAGAAACCCGAUCGUAGUCCGGAUCGCAGUCUGCAACUCGACUGCGUGAAGUCGGAAUCGCCAGUAAUCGCGGAUCAGCAUGUCGCGGUGAAUACGUCCCCGGGUCUUGUACACACCGCCCGUCACACCAUGGGCGUGGACUAAACAGGCUGAAGUUACUUCCAACGUAAGAUGGGCGAUUAUCACGCAACAGACUUCCACGAUAUACUGGGUAAAGUCGUAUAGCGUAA